UGCAUUUUUUGGUAAGACGAUGUUAACAAAAGUUGUUCGUCUUGAUGAGGGCUACAACUAUGCUUAAUAUCCUUUCAACAAAUUAUGCGUAUUUAAGAAGAUAGGUCCGCGCAUGCGCAGAACGUAACUCCUUACGCUUGCAUUUUUUGGUAAGACGAUGUUAACAAAAGUUGUUCGUCUUCAUGAGGGCUACAACUUUGCUUAAUAUCCUUUUAACAAAUUAUGCG
rnacentral:miRNA from 1 species